rnacentral:rRNA from 1 species
AUUGAACGCUGGCGGCAGGCCUAACACAUGCAAGUCGAACGGUAACAGGAAGAAGCUUGCUUCUUUGCUGACGAGUGGCGGCCGGGUGAGUCAUGUCUGGGAAACUGCUUGCUGGAGGGGGAUAACAACUGGAAACGGUAGCUAAUACAGCAUAAUGUCGCCAGACUAAAGAGGGGGGCCUUGGGGCCUCUUGCCAUCGGAUGUGCCCAGCUGGGCGUAGCUAGUAGGUGGGGUAACGGCUCACCUAGGCGACGAUCCCUCGCUGGUCGGAGAGGAUGACCAGCCACACUGGAACUGAGACGCGAUCCAGACUCCUACGGGAGGCAGCAGUGGGGAAUAGUGCACAGUGGUGGCAAGCCUGAUGCAGCUAUGCCACGUGUAUGGAGAAGGCCUUCGGGUUGGAAAGUACUUUUAGCGGGGAGGAAGGGAGUAAAGUUAAUACCAUGGCUCAUUGACGUUACCCGCAGAAGAAGCACCGGCUAACUCCGUG